UGGAUUGUUUCUCUUUUCUUCUCUCUUUUUUCUCCUCUGCUAGAUUGGGAUUCAUUCCUCGGCUUCCAUAGGGGCCGCCACCCCACAUGUUUUAACACGCAGAAUUCAUGUAUCAGAAUCUAAACUCAACUGUUAUUUUUACUUUUCUCAAAACAAUUCAGAGACCUUAGGACACUGAUUGUGGUGACCUCCGUCCUGCCCCAGGCCUGACCCCUGUGUGCCACUCCUGCCUGGUUCUCCCUGGGGCCUGCAGCUGGGCUCUGGCCCGUCCCAGGCUCUGUCCUCGCUACUGCGCUCAGGCCGCACGGACCCUCCCAGGCUGCUGCUGGCCAGGCCUCAUGCCGACUCCUGGUUUCCCCUCCUGUUUGCCCUCUGAGAGGCUGGUCAAAGCUUUCUCGUCAUUAUUGUGACAGAAAUGGGCACGUUUGCUCCCAGGUAUUUAUCGCCAGUAGGUGCUGAGGGCUCCCACUGCUGCUCUGGUCCUCCCGUCGUCUGGCCGCGCUCGGCCCUUCCGGUGAAAUGUUUCUCAGAUUCAUCAACAGUUUUCUGGAAACUCCAGCAAGUAACCAGGAGCCCUCCUCCCCACUCCCCCCGAGGCAGCAGUGGCUCCCCUCAGACCCACGGCGGACACAGGGUGCAGCCCCCCAACCCCCGAGGCCCUGCUGUGCCCGGGGCCCUGUGCAGACCCAGCCUCCCCACCUGGGACUGUUUCCUGAUGUUUUAUGCCCUGCUUUUAUUGUAUUAAAAGUUGGUUUUGUUUUAC